GGGGAUGUAGCUCAGUGGGAGAGCGCUUGCUUUGCAUGUAAGAGGCCCUGGGUUCAAUCCCCAGCAUCUCCA
rfam:Patagioenas fasciata monilis isolate BTP2013 Sc31e1R_67, whole genome shotgun sequence.